AAGCGUCUAAAGCGUCUAAAGCGCCUAAAGCGCCACCAUUGCCGAGCACGGCGAAAAUUAUUGUUCAAGAAAAUCAAGAGGCAAUGAGUUGCAACAAUAUGCUUGAAACUGCUACGGUUUACAAAGAGAAAUUUCGAAAGACGGUCAAAUCACUGUUAGGCAGAAUAAUGAUGACAAAAAUUGACAACA